GCGGGGCGCGCGGCGGUGCGGGCGGGUGACUGGCGGCGGGCGCCGCGGUCGGGCUGGCUGCCGGGCAGCAUGGAGGAGCUGAGCAGCGUGGGCGAGCAGGUCUUCGCCGCCGAGUGCAUCCUGAGCAAGCGGCUCCGCAAGACAUAACAGCUGGGAGCCGGAGGAGAACAUCCUGGACCCGAGGCUGCUCCUGGCCUUCCAGAAGAAGGAACAUGAGAAGGAGGUGCAGAACCGGAAGAGAGGCAAGAGGCCGAGAGGCCGGCCAAGGAAGCUCACUGCCAUGUCCUCCUGCAGCCGGCGCUCCAAGCUCAAGGAACCCGAAGCUCCCUCCAAAUCCAAGUCCAGCAGUUCCUCCUCUUCCUCCACGUCAUCCUCUUCUUCCUCGGAUGAAGAGGAUGACAGUGACUUAGAUGCUAAGAGGGGUCCCCGGGGCCGCGAGACCCACCCAGUGCCGCAGAAGAAGGCCCAGAUCCUGGUGGCCAAACCCGAGCUGAAGGAUCCCAUCCGGAAGAAGCGGGGACGAAAGCCCCUGCCCCCAGAGCAAAAGGCAACCCGAAGACCCGUGAGCCUGGCCAAGGUGCUGAAGACCGCCCGGAAGGAUCUGGGGGCCCC
rnacentral:lncRNA from 1 species